GAUGAAGAACGCAGCGAAAUGCGAUAAGUAAUGUGAAUUGCAGAAUUCAGUGAAUCAUCGAAUCUUUGAACGCAUCUUGCGCUCCUUGGUAUUCUGAGGAGCAUGCCUGUUUGAGUGUCAUUAAAUUCUCAACUACACUGACUUUGAAUUGGUGUGGCUUGGAUUUGGGGGGAAAAUUGUUGUGGGCUUUUUGUAUAGUCUGCUCCCCUGAAAUUGAUUAGCGGUACCUUUGUGGAACUGUCUACAGGUGUGAUAAUUAUCUACAUCUUAGGCAUCUGCUGGAAUGCUGCUUUCUAAACCUUACUUGUAUUGACAAUCUUGACCUCAAAUCAGGUAGGACUACCCGCUGAACUUAAGCAUAUCAAUAAGCGGAGGA
rnacentral:misc_RNA from 1 species